UACGUAGGGGGCGAGCGUUGUCCGGAAUUACUGGGCGUAAAGAGCUCGUAGGUGGUUUGUCGCGUUGUUCGUGAAAACUCACAGCUCAACUGUGGGCGUGCGGGCGAUACGGGCAGACUGGAGUACUGCAGGGGAGACUGGAAUUCCUGGUGUAGCGGUGGAAUGCGCAGAUAUCAGGAGGAACACCGGUGGCGAAGGCGGGUCUCUGGGCAGUAACUGACGCUGAGGAGCGAAAGCGUGGGGAGCGAACAGG
rnacentral:rRNA from 1 species